rnacentral:lncRNA from 1 species
GCAAAGGCAAGCAGGCCAGAAUCUUGGUGUAUCUGCUGGCUCACCGUCUAAUGCGGGCUGGGACGGAACCAAACAGGGACUCACUAUAUAACCUUGGCUAACUUGGAAUUUACUAUGUAGACUACGUUGCCUUUAAACUCAGAAGUCUGCCUCCUGAGUACCAAGCUCUUGGUACUGAAGGCAGAAACCAGAGCCUCACACAUAUUGGGCAAGCACCUGAAAGUUAUCCUUGGGUCAAAACAUGAAAAUCCUUAAAAGGAAAUAAAUAAGUAAGUAUCCCUUUUAUAUAGAUUUUGUCCUCAAGUGCGGAUGGUAGUAUCUAUCUAACUUUAUUACAAGGAAGACCCGUUAUAGUUACCAUGACUAGCUUUCAAAUAAUGGCCUUCAAUAUGUGUAGUGCUCAUACACUUACUUUAUUUAAGUAAAUAGACUUCACUUUCUGGCUCCUGGGACCUCUACUUCAUCUGUGUUAGCUUAAUUUAAAAGCCUAGAUUUGAAGGUAAAACAUUGGGUUGCGACAGGGUUUCUCUGUGUUGCCCUGGCUGUCCCAGAUCUUGGUCUGUAGAGCAGGUUGACCUUGAACUCACAGAGAUACUCCUGCCUCUGCCUCUGCCUCUGGAGUGCUGGGAUUAAAGGCUUGCGCCACUAUCGCCCGGCAACACUGGAGUUUUCACUUGUUGUAUUUUGACUUCUGUUGACCAGUGGACUUUUUUUUUUUGUACUUUAGUUUCUCUCCUAGUUGGUGUGUGGUUGGUAAGAGAAGUUCUCAGCUGUCACUUGGUGGGAAAGGGAGCAUCUCAUGGCCAUGCCCCUUUCACUCGUGGGCUCCAGCAGGUGCUGGGGUCCUGACUGACUCUCCCCGGUGGGUUUUUCUUUUUACAGCCUCAGACAUCGGACCUGUUGUUCCCACAUCUCUUUUCCCAUCUAAACACUUUUAUUUAUUUAUUUAUUUUUGCUUAAAUCAGUUUUGUUAUUAGGUGAUCAUCUUGAGCAUUCAGGACAGCCUAUAUCAGCUGGCUACACAGUUCAUCUUCUCUGGUGUUUGAUCCAGAUGUGUUUUUAUGGAAAUAAAAUAAUUAGACUUAUUCUUGCAUCAGAGAUA